rnacentral:misc_RNA from 1 species
GUGAAUCAUCGAAUUUUUGAACGCAAAUUGCACUCUCUUCGGAGAGUAUGCCUGUUUGAGGGUCAGCCUAAAAAAAAUCGACAUCGUUGCUGUUUCGCGGUGGCGUUCGUCGGAAAUUGGGUUAUCUUAAAUCUUUGGUUUAAGCGACUUAAAAUUUUCUUUACGAUUCCAUGAACGUUUCCAAGAUUUAUUUCUUUACACGUUUAAGGUAUCGAUUUUAUUAGGCGUGGUCGUCAUAUCGGAUCAUGUCCAUAAUUUUUCGUUAACUGACCUCAGACAGGUAAGAGUACCCGCUGAACUU